rnacentral:rRNA from 1 species
AACGAACGCUGGCGGCGCGCCUAAUACACGCAAGUCGAGCGAGAAGACGUAGCAAUACGUUUGUAAAGCGGCGAACGGGUGAGGAAUACAUGGGUAACCUACCCUCGAGAGGGGAAUAACUAGCCGAAAGGUUAGCUAAUACCGCGUACGCUUCUUGGACUUCGGUUCAGGGAGGAAAGCGAUACCGUGGGUAUCGCGCUCUUGGAUGGGCUCAUGUCCUAUCAGCUUGUUGGUGAGGUAACGGCUCACCAAGGCUUCGACGGGUAGCUGGUCUGAGAGGACGAUCAGCCACACUGGCACUGCGACACGGGCCAGACUCCUACGGGAGGCAGCAGUAAGGAAUAUUGCGCAAUGGGCGAAAGCCUGACGCAGCGACGCCGCGUGGGGGAUGAAGGUCUUCGGAUUGUAAACCCCUUUCGGGAGGGAAGAUGGAACGAGCAAUCGUUCGGACGGUACCUCCAGAAGCAGCCACGGCUAACUUCGUGCCAGCCGCCGCUGUAAAAC